rnacentral:lncRNA from 1 species
GAAAUGAUUUUUUUAAUCUUUGUUGAGAUAUCAGAUAUCAAAAUUUUUGGAGGGAAUGCCUGUUCCCUUGAAACGGUGUACUCUUUUUCAGUCAUUAUUAAAUCAAUAAUUAAUUUUAUUAUCAAAAUUAGUGAGGUUUAGCCGUUAAGGAAUUGGAAAAUGGUGGACUCAAGUUAACAAUCGCAUGGUAGAGUGACGGAGGAGACCAGCACUGCAGGAACAGGCCAAUCUAACAAAAUGAAGUCAAGGAAUAACGUUCAUGUACACAUUCAAGGUCUACUACUACUAAGAAGGUCUAUGUUGUCAUUUCUUCACUUGUUGAAAUUGAAGUCUGCGGUUCCUUUUACCUACCUAAGUACUAGAACGGACAUUAGAUGUUCCUCCAAUGACACUUCCUUUCUUUGACUAUCGAUCCAUGAGAUUCCAGUAGUCACUGGCUGAUGAAACCAUCUUUAAUAUAUCCAAUGAUCACAACAUCAGAGUCAUUUGAAGCUAACUGGAGCAAAUGGAGAUGUGCUUUUUUAAAACAUGCAGCUUGAAUAAUUCUGCUGGAUCCAAGUCAUCUUCGAAGCUCAUUAAUGCAAAAUUUCGUAAAGUCCUAUGUCAGAUAUGAAUGCUUUUAAAUGUUGAUGUGCAUCAUUAACUGAGUCACGAAGGGAAGCAAAGAGCAGGAGCCUUACUUCAUAUGAUAUUCCAUUUAUUUUACUUAAUACUAUGCGUGGAACUCCGUUAUCUGAGGUGACUGAUUGAAACAAUAAUCAUCCUUACAUAGUUAGAUUCUUUGACCCAGAUGAAGAUGUGGUGCCACAGUACUUUAUUGCUAUAGAACAAAAAUUGCACUGUGAAUGUAGUGCAUUGUCAACAUCCAUCUUUAAUUUAGUACAAUACAUCUUUAAUAUUGAGUACACUGGAAGUUUGAAGUAUAUAUUCCGAUUUCUGGAGCAGUUUAGAUUGGAUAUUAAGUUCUCUGACAACCCUAGACAAGUCUUUUCAUAUUAUGUUCUUGUUUUGUUUAGCUAAUUCAGUACAUAGUACAUGAUGUAUUAUUAUCUUGUUAUAACAUUUCCAUUCAUUAUUGCAACACUAUGUCUUGUUAUUAGAACAGAAGCCCAUUGUUACUCCAUCUGCAUUGUUUUGACAAUUAGCAUUUUGUUAAAAGAACACGCUUGCAAUCCUGAUCUUUGUUGGACAUCAAUAGCGUCUUAAUGAGUGUUGGGGCUGCAGGUUUUGAGCUGAAAACUCCAAGAUUUUACAUCACAAGUCCAAAAACUGAUGAUAUGCUUAAUAAGCUAAUGCUAUACAUAACCUGCGCACUAGCUCACACAUCCUUUGAAAAUGUAUUUAAAGGAAUUAAUCAUGUAAAGACGAUCUUCUGUAAAACUUUUGUUAUCCAAAUGAAUACUCGAACAAAACAUAGGAACAGGAAAUAGAUCAGAGGAUGAAUGAGUUGAAUGAGAAGUAGGAAAAAGGUUGACAGAGACAGACUUCACUGAAGCCUAAAGAAAUCAUUAAUAA